AUGGUUGGGAGCUUUGUUAGGAAGUGGCGCUCUGGGGAUGAGGUUGAUUCGAUGCUCAAUGCCUCGAAGAGGAGGUAG
rnacentral:rRNA from 1 species